ensembl:snRNA U6 U6 spliceosomal RNA
GUGCUCGCUUUGGCAGUGCAUAGACUAAAACUGGAACGACACAGAGAAGAUGAGCAGGGCACCU